GAGGGGAGAGAUUGCUGACUGUAUGUGGGAGUGUUACUGUGAUAAUUAUUGAUCCUGUUGGUUUGUGUCCCUUUUGUCCCUGUGUUCCAUCAGGUCCAGGGGGUGUGCCUCUGGCCUGAAAAUCUGAAUAAAAGAAAUGCAAGCUGCUCAGUAAACCAGACCUUCUUACCCUCAACUCGCAGCCUUGUCUCGUGUUGUAGGGAACAGCUAUAACUGCUAGCUCUUGUAAAAGCUCUCUUCAGCUAUACUAGCUCCUCAGGAUAUCGGGUUGGAACUCUGCAGCGCUCUCCAUCUUUGGGAAGAAGGAUAUCCAGACGGUAGAUACCCUCACUCAAUAGGGGUAACCGUCACAGUUGUAAAGAAGAGUGAGUCAAAAUUCCUCCACAAUGAUGUGAGAGACUG